GGAGAUGUGGCCGAGUGGUUUAAGGCACUCCCUUGCUAAGGGAGCCGACCUCGCGAGGGGUCGCCUGGGUUCGAAUCCCAGCAUCUCCGCCA
rnacentral:tRNA from 1 species